UACGUAGGGAGCAAGCGUUGUCCGGAAUCAUUGGGCGUAAAGCGCGCGUAGGUGGCUUCGUAAGUCCGUUGUGAAAGUCAAAGGCUCAACCUUUGAAAGCCGAUGGAUACUGCGGAGCUAGAGUACGGAAGAGGCGAGUGGAAUUCCUGGUGUAGCGGUGGAAUGCGCAGAUAUCAGGAGGGACACCAAUAGCGAAGGCAGCUCGCUGGGACGUUACUGACACUGAGGCGCGAAAGCGUGGGGAGCGAACAGG
rnacentral:rRNA from 1 species